UUCAAUGAAAUUGAGAAUUUAAAAAUAAAAGUGUAGAAAUAUGAAUUUUGUGAAAAUGGAGAUCUAAGACACCCUUUAAGACACGAUGCAUUGGAAAGGGGUGUGUCUUAGGUGGGGACCACCAUCUAAGACACCCCCUAAGACACACCCCACUGGAGAACGACUCUCCAUCUAUACCCACGUAACUUGGGAAUUGACACUGUGGCAGCCGGAAUAGAUGAGGCGGCAGCCGGAAUUGACACCUAAACAUAACUUUUACAUUGGUAAAAAAUUUAAAAAAAAAAGAGAAAAAAAUUUCCAACUCAUCAUCUUCCCAACCUAAUUCACCUCUCCUCCCUUC
rnacentral:lncRNA from 1 species